rnacentral:lncRNA from 1 species
AAAUAUCAUCUUUUCUUCAUCUUCUGUCCACCGAAAAAUGGCAGCAAAGAAAGGGUUUAGAAGCUGGAAACUUUCAGCAAACAAACUCCCUUUAUAGUAAGUGAUUUUAAUGUCUUUACUUAAUGAUUUUUACAUUUUUGGAACCCCUAAAGCAUGAGCUUUCAUAAGAGGGGGUUAUUUUGCAAAAUGAUGAAGAGUCUAGGGUUUUACCAUGAGAUUAAGUGUGUUGUUUUCUGUGUUUUUAUGGAAGAUUAUGAGUCCUAGUUGUCUAAUAAACAACUUUUGUGAAAGAAAUUGCAUGAAAAUACCUUAAAAAGGGCUAAAUUACUAAGUUGUAAAAUGAGUUGUAAAUGUGUAAAAUAGUUGAAAUUAUGAGUUGCUAUAGUUAUGAAAAUGGUUCGUCUAGACUCAAGGAGUAAAGAAAUGUGAUAAAAAUUAAUUUACGAGCAUUGGGGCAAAAGUGCAAAUAUGCAAAAGUUUAGGGGUCAAAAUGGAAAUUUGUAAAAAUAUGAUUUUUAGACCCAUAUCAAUAUUGUGACUGAUUGUUAGGCUAAAUUGAUGUUAUAGAUGAUGAAAAUUGAGAUUUGGACCUAGAACGAAAAGAAAUCGAUUUAUGGACGAGUAUGUCUUUUCACCUUUGUGGUAUCGAGGUAAGUUCGUAUGCAAACAAUACCAUGCUAUACAUGUAUUUAAAUGUUAUCAUUACAUGAAUUGUACAGAUAUUAAUGUGUAUGUGAUUAAUAGAAAUAUGAUAAGACAAAGCCUUAAUAGGCAAGGAAAAAUCCCGUUUGAACCUUAGGAAUAAAUUAGGAUACGAGUGACAUGUCACUAGGAAUUAUGAGUCUAGAUGACUAGCUCGAUAGUGAGCAUUGAAAUGUCAUGAGAUAUGAGAUAGCUUUAGCUACAAUUGAGGCACUUAUGUGCAAAAGCUUUUCCGAGUAUCCAAUUAGUAUUCCAAGUGUUCAACGGGCAAUCCAAGGAAAGAGUUGAUGAUGGUCCCAAUGAGGUAAGUCAUUGGUGAGUAUGCACUCGAGUUAUGUUACGAGUUGUGCAAGUAUGUAUACUAAGCCUAUGAGAAUGCCUUGAUAUGUGAUGAUCUAUGAUGCAUAAUAUGUGUUCUUACCAUGAUGGAUAAAAUGGUGUUGUAUUAAUAUUAUGAACAAUGACCAUGAAUGAGUAACUUAGCCUUGACAGAUUUGAGUUACUGCAGUAGUGUAACUUUGAAAAUACACUAAAAAUAGUGAAAAAUGAAUUAGAGGCAGAAUAAAAUAUGGGAUUAAAUCUUAAUGAGUCUAUUUUCACAUGAAAGAAAUAUAGGAAGAAAAAGAAUUCUAUAUUGUGUGAUAUUUAAAUUCUCGUGAAACAGGGUCUGAAUGAAUUCGAGAUCCCCUGUUUUGAUUUUAUAAAUUCACCGUAAAUUGUAAAAAAAUUAUUAAGAGUCAUACCUUACAUGCAUAGAUUCCUUAUUUAGUUUAUCUUUAAGGGAAACAAACGGCAUGAUCAUUGGAAUUAUGUACAGGGAGAAAUUCGGUUCGUAGUGCAUAGGGGUCAGAGUAGUCAUACCCUAAAAUAGGGGAAACUUUAACUAAUAAACUGUACUAAAUGAAUUGACCAAAAAUUCUAUAAAAAAUUUAUUAAGUAGACAUAUGAGUCUAGUUUCAAGAGAAAUAUACGAGAACAUUAUUUGAGUCCUGUACUAUGAGAUAAUUGAACUUUAGUGCAGAAGGGUUGAAACUGUCAGAUAGUGAAUCAGGAGAAAACUUGAGGAAUAAACUGUACUAAUUGGAUAAGUCAAAAAUUCUGGAAAUUUUAUGGAAGAAAGAUAAAUGAGUCUAGUUUCAGGGAAAAUUAACAGAACUUAAUUUGGAGUUUCGUAGCUCUAGAUAUAAAUAAUUUAGUGACUGCUGCCCAGGAAGACAGCUUGUAGUGAACUUGAGAAUAUGUUGUAAACAUUGAUAAAACAAGUUAAUGAGUUGCUUAUUGUUUUCAUAUGAAAUUACUAAGCGAAAGCUUACCCUCUUCUUUCCCAUGUUUUCUAGAGUUUCCAGGUUAGCUAGGGUUGGAGGCCGUCAGAGAUAUUAUCACACUGUCGAGUUAACACUAUCGGCGUAAGUAAACUCAAGUGAUUCUAGUCUAUGGCAUGUAUAGGGUUUUAAUGUGAGUAUGUAAUAUUAUGAUUUAGCCAAAGGCAUUGGCUUGUUAUUAAGGUAGUAUUGUAAUAUUAUGAUUUAGCGAAAGGCAUGGGCUUGUUAUUAAGGUAGUAUUGUAAUAUUAUGAUUUAGCCAAAGCAUUGGCUUGUUAUUAAGGUAGUAUUAGUCAUGUAAAUUGGCCUAUGUCGGCUAAUAUCGUUAUAGGCCCAUAUGAUUAUUCUUAUGCAUGUAUGUUAUUAUCUCUUGUGAUGUGGCUUACAACAUGUAUGCCUAGAGAUUGAAUUGAGAUUCAUUGAUGAGCUAAUAACUAAUGCAGGAUUAAGUGAUUGGUAAAUAGUUAAUAAUGCUUCAUGAAUGGUUUGUGGAUAUAAUUAUGCAUGCUUUGUGAUGGACAUGAGGUUUGAUGACAUAUUGAUAGCUAUAGCAUUAAUAUGGUAAAGAUGAAAGAAAAAAUUAUUGUAAUGGUUGCAUGUGAAAUUACCAUGGUCAUGUCAUAUUAGGAAGGUUUAAGUGCCUAAUUUUGUCAUGUUGUAUGCUAUUGUAUAAGUAUGCGUGCAUGUGUUGUGAGUGUGACAAAAUGGCUUGGAAAAUAGCCUUGUAUUUGUCCAGGUUUUUGGACAUGGGUUCGGGACACGGGCGUGUGCUCUAUACCUACACGGGCGUGUGGAGCCUUGAUGCAAGAUAUUUCCUAAGUUUUUCAUGAGUUCUCGGUUGAGUCCCGAACCACCCCAAAUGCAUGUAUUGGGCCUCGUAAGCUCGCAUAAGGGACAGAUUACAUGUGACAGCCCUAAAGUGACCUUAUUCGGAAAGCGGUUUCGGGACCGCUAAACCGAGUCACCGAAGUAUUUGAAUGUGAUAUUUAUUGUCUAGAAUAGGUGAAUAUGAAUGUGUGAAAGUUUUAAGCUUCGAUUUAGUAAAUUGCAUGUGAAUUUAGUCAAUAGGACUUAUGUGUGACACUUAUGAAAUGUGAUAGGUUAAUCUAUAAGGAUCUAUUAGUGCAUGUAAUCAAAAAGGAUGGGUUUGCAUGUCAAAUUACCGAAAAUUAGAGCUAGUGGCCGGCCAUGCUAUGGGGUGAAACAUGUUGUAAACAUGUUUUGUUAGUGUGUUAUGUUAGAAAGAAUAAAAUAAAAGGUUAGUAAUAAAAUAAUGAAAAGAGUGGGGUGAUGAAAACAAAGUUGUCUCAUCCAUGCCCCCCCUCCAUUGCCGUGACUAGAGAAAGAGGAGAGAAAAAAAGAGUUCAUUCUUUGGUUCUUCUUGGCCGAAUUGAAAAGAGGAAGAAGGGGAUGAAGCAAUCGGCCAUCUUAGGUCAAUAUUAAGCUCAAGAGCAAAGGGGAACUAAAUCCGAUAAAGGGAAGGAAAAAGUGGUUGAAUAGCCAUCGAAAUCGUUCGACAACAUCCGAGGUAAGUUUUCGAGCAAUGAGACUUAGUUUAUGAUUUGAUUAAUUCAUGAUGUAUGAGCAUAACAAAUAUACGGUGAUAUGAUGAUUCUACUUGAAUUAGAUGAUGAGUUAAUUAGUCUAUACGUAUGAUGGUAGCCGUAUGUGCAUAGAGAUCGUGUCAUAAAGCAAACUAAACCAUGCUGUCUGUAUGUGGCUAGUGAGCCGAAAAUGGGAGUGCUUAAUACGUGACUUGUGUUUGAACUCUAAUUAUGAAAAUGAGAUAUAAAUGUGUCAUGAUUUAUUGAUAUGUGCAUGAAUAUUCGGAUGAUAACCGGGCUAAGUCCCGAAGGCAUUUGCACUAGUGACUAGUUCCGGGCUAAGUCCCGAAGGCAUUUGUGCGAGUUACUAUAUCCGGGUUAAGUCCCGAAGGCAUUUGUGCGAGUUACUAUAUCCGGGCUAAGUCCCGAAGGCAUUUGUGCGAGUUACUACAUCCGGGCUAUGUCCCGAAGGCAUUCGAGCGAGUAGCUAUAUCCGGUUAAAUCCCGAAGGUACCUGGCUUGGGAAUGAGCGAUCUUGCUGUAAUAAUUUCAAUUAAUACGCUCGUAAAAUCCCAACGAUGAGGUAUGUUUCGUAUAUGCAUUGAAUUGGUUGAUUCCUUACAAAUAGUAUUCGCUCAGUCGAUAAAUGAGCUACCGGCCUUUGGCUAAAUUGAUCUUUUGUGUAUGAAUAUAAGGGUCGGUAAUGUGAAGUAAGUAUGAUAUUGAGAAUUUGUGCAUAUGAAAUUAUCCGUUUAGCUAUACGAAUGUUAUACUUUAGUUGUGUCUAAUUUCAUGGCUCAAAACUUACUAAGCAUUAAAUGCUUACUCCGUUUCUUUGAUUAUCUGUUUUAUAGAUUUUGGUUCGUCAGCUAUCGGACUCGGGAUUGUUGAAGUCGAAGUCGUCCACACUAUCAAAGCCCCUUUUGGUACACUUUUGGUUGAACUUUGAAAUGGCAUGUAUAGGACUACCCUUUUUGAUGUUGGUCAUGUACCUUUCGGUAUUGUACAAAUUUGGAUAGCCAUGCGAAAAUGGCUUAUAUAUAUUUUUGAGCAUAAUGUUAUAAUCAUUUUGUAUGUAUAUGGUUAUUGAGAGGUGUGGAUAUGCUUGGCAAUGAUUGGCC